rnacentral:rRNA from 1 species
UACGUAGGGUGCGAGCGUUGUCCGGAAUUACUGGGCGUAAAGAGCUUGUAGGUGGUUUGUCGCGUUGUUCGUGAAAUCUCACGGCUUAACUGUGAGCGUGCGGGCGAUACGGGCAGACUAGAGUACUGCAGGGGAGACUGGAAUUCCUGGUGUAGCGGUGGAAUGCGCAGAUAUCAGGAGGAACACCGGUGGCGAAGGCGGGUCUCGUGGGCAGUAACUGACGCUGAGAAGCGAAAGCGUGGGGAGCGAAACAGGAUUAGAUACCC